AUUGAACGCUGGCGGCAGGCCUAACACAUGCAAGUCGAGCGGAUGAAGGGAGCUUGCUCCUGGAUUCAGCGGCGGACGGGUGAGUAAUGCCUAGGAAUCUGCCUGGUAGUGGGGGAUAACGUCUGGAAACGGGUGCUAAUACCGCAUACGUCCUGCGGGUGCAAGUUGGGGGUGUUUGGACCUUACCCUAUCAUAUGAGCCUAGGUCGGAUUGGUCAGUUGGUGGGGUGAAGGCCUACCAAGGCGACGAUCGGUAACUGGCCUGCGAGGAUGAUCAGUCGCACUGGGACGGAGACACGGCCCAGACGCCUACGGGAGGCACCCAUAGGGAAUAGUGGGCAAUGGGCGGAGACCUGAUCCAACCGUGCCGCGUGUGGAAAGAAGGUCGUCGGAUUGGAGAGCACUUUAUGUUGGGAGGAAGGGCAGUUAGUUAAUAACGUGGUGUGUGGACGUUAACAGGAUAAUGAGCCACGGCUAACUUCGUG
rnacentral:rRNA from 1 species